rnacentral:rRNA from 1 species
UACGAAGGGGGCUAGCGUUGUUCGGAAUUACUGGGCGUAAAGCGCACGUAGGCGGAUCGUUAAGUCGGGGGUGAAAUCCUGGAGCUCAACUCCAGAACUGCCUUCGAUACUGGCGAUCUCGAGUCCGGAAGAGGUGAGUGGAACUCCUAGUGUAGAGGUGGAAUUCGUAGAUAUUAGGAAGAACACCAGUGGCGAAGGCGACUCACUGGUCCGGUACUGACGCUGAGGUGCGAAAGCGUGGGGAGCAAACAGG